AACCACCUGAGUUACGUAUGAUUACCUGCUGAACUUAAGCA
rnacentral:rRNA from 1 species